ensembl:lncRNA
UUUUGUUAAAACUUUUCUGCAAGCAGUGGUCUCUUCAGUGUCCUCCACUAUGACCAGAGUGGUCAAACCUGGGGAGACUGUCUGUAUGUCCUGUAACGUACCUAUGAAGACCUCGACAACGUGGUACGGACAAGAGAGCAACAAGACGCCCUUUGUCAUCAUAUCGGCCAAACAAUAUGACGUUAACCAAAAGGAAGUUCUAAAUAAAUUCCUCCAUGGCAACAACAAUGCAUUCAGCACAAAGUUAGAGGACAAUGGCUCCAUCAGUCUGACCAUCAGCAACAUUAAUGAGUCUUUGCUAGGAUUCUACUUUUGUACUUCAGGAAUCGACAAAGAACUUACAGUUGGAUCCGGUUACAUUCUUGAAUAUGAGAAGGGCAGUGUUUCACCUAAAAGAGAUGAUGAUGGUCCUCCUGAGUCUUCAGAAUGUCAUGCUGGGUGUUCAGGGCAGUGCUGGGUGCUGAUGGCCAUUUUGUGUCCUCUCAGUGCUGCUUUAGUGGGACUGUUGGCCUUUAUUCUUACCUGGAUCCUUCACAGAAAAGGAAACAAUGAAUCAGAGAGUAUAAAAACAGACCAGGGACACAGCAACAAUGUACAGGGAGGGGCAGAGGGAGUUCUUUACAGUUCCUUGAAUUUCUCAAAGGAAGAUCACCGUGGCAAAAGAAAUAUCACACAUCAUUAAUGUGAUCCUGUGUAUCUUUUCAGUUAAUGUUACAUAAUAGGAACAUGCUGAAUUUAUGUUUUAAUGUGAGUACAGCUUCUAGUACAGAUAUCUACCUUGUGUGCUGCAGUUGUACUAUGUUGUCCUUUAAAAUAUACAUUCCUUCAAAACAUUGGUUCCGAACUACAGUCCUCAAGUAUCCCCAAAAGUACACAUUUUCCUUGUAGCCCCAGCCAAGCACAGCUGAUUCAAAUUAUGAACUAAUUAUCAAGCUCUCAUUGAGUUCAAUUGGGUUUGCUUGUCUAGGGCUAAAACAAAAAUGUGUGCCGGAAUUGGGAACCAAUGCUUUAAAACAUGUGUUUUUAUUGCUAUUGUGACAGAGAGUACCGUUCCUUUAAGGAUCAGACCAUCCCAUUCAGGAGACUCCUUGUAGCCUGAUUUGUAGGUUGGAAUCACCCAGGGUACAUCAAGGCUUUUGUUUGGGGUUUGGGAGGACGGUUGGUGUAUUACUUGGUGGUACAUUCUGUGUUCCAGUAUUAAUCCAUGUGGAUACAGGGAGGCAGUAUGGUUUUGUGUAUUGGGUCAUUUAUGUCUGUAUAACGUAAUUGUAAUGUGUAAAACCAACAGUCGGAACUGGAAGAAACCAGGGUGAAGAGUCGGAUUGGUCCGCUGCGUUUUAUGGUAUCAAUAAGGC